rnacentral:rRNA from 1 species
AGGACGAACGCUGGCGGCGUGCUUAACACAUGCAAGUCGAGCGGAAAGGCCCUUCGGGGUACUCGAGCGGCGAACGGGUGAGUAACACGUGGGCAACCUGCCCUUAGCUCUGGGAUAGCUCCGGGAAACCGGAAUUAAUACCGGAUAUGACCUAGGCCGACAUCGGCCGUGGUGGAAAGUUUUUCGGCUAGGGAUGGACUCGCGGCCUAUCAGCUAGUUGGUGGGGUAAUGGCCUACCAAGGCGACGACGGGUAGCCGGCCUGAGAGGGCGACCGGCCACACUGGGACUGAGACACGGCCCAGACUCCUACGGGAGGCAGCAGUGGGGAAUCUUGCGCAAUGGGCGAAAGCCUGACGCAGCGACGCCGCGUGGGGGAUGGAAGGCCUUCGGGUUGUAAACCCCUUUCAGCAGGGACGAAGCGAAAGUGACGGUACCUGCAGAAGAAGCGCCGGCUAACUACGUGCCAGCAGCCGC